GGGCAGACUUAGGAGGUCAGCCUGCCAGUGACAAAAUUCAACGGCCGCGGUACCCUAACCGUGCGAAGGUAGCAUAAUCACUUGUUCUUUAAAUGAGGACUAGUAUCAACGGCAUCACGAGGACUACACUGUCUCCUCUCUUCAAUCAGUGAAACUGAUCUCCCCGUGAAGAAGCGGGGAUUUAUUUAUAAGACGAGAAGACCCCAUGGAGCUUUAAACCCAAUGUAUAACCCAACACACAAAUCAAUAAAGCCCUGAGGAUCUAUACACUGGUUUUAGGUUGGGGAGACCACGGAGUAAAACUAAACCUCCACAACAAACUGGCUAAAGCCCUGAUCUAUGAACUACAACUCUAAGAGCCAACAAAUUGUUGCCAACGACCCAAUCACUUGAUUAAUGAACCAAGUUACCCUGGGGAUAACAGCGCAAUCUACUUCAAGAGCCCCUAUCGACAAGUAGGUUUACGACCUCGAUGUUGGAUCAGGGUACCCAAGUCGCGCAGCCGCUACUAAUG
rnacentral:rRNA from 1 species